AACCAUAGAAACCUGCGGAGUACCUGCGGAAGGAUCAUUACAGAGUGUAAAAACUCCCAAACCCCUGUGAACGUACCUGUCGUUGCUUCGGCGGAUCGCCCCGGGCGCUGCAAGGUGCCCCGGAGUCAGGCGCCCGCCGGAGGACCACAAACUCUUGUUUUAUACCGGAAUUCUCUGAGUGGCAUGUCUCAUGCAAAAACAAAAUGAAUCAAAACUUUCAGCAACGGAUCUCAGAUCGGA
rnacentral:misc_RNA from 1 species